GGGAUAAGCGUUGGAAACGACGUCUAAUACCGGAUACGACCUUCGGAGGCAUCUCCUGGGGGUGGAAAGAAUUUUGGUCAAGGAUGAGCUCGCGGCCUAUCAGCUAGUUGGUGAGGUAAUGGCUCACCAAGGCGACGACGGGUAGCCGGCCUGAGAGGGUGACCGGCCACACUGGGACUGAGACACGGCCCAGACUCCUACGGGAGGCAGCAGUGGGGAAUAUUGCACAAUGGGCGAAAGCCUGAUGCAGCAACGCCGCGUGAGGGACGACGGCCUUCGGGUUGUAAACCUCUUUUAGUAGGGAAGAAGCGAAAGUGACGGUACCUGCAGAAAAAGCACCGGCUAACUACGUGCCAGCAGCCGCGGUAAUACGUAGGGUGCAAGCGUUGUCCGGAAUUAUUGGGCGUAAAGAGCUCGUAGGCGGUUUGUCGCGUCUGCUGUGAAAACUGGAGGCUCAACCUCCAGCCUGCAGUGGGUACGGGCAGACUAGAGUGCGGUAGGGGAGAUUGGAAUUCCUGGUGUAGCGGUGGAAUGCGCAGAUAUCAGGAGGAACACCGAUGGCGAAGGCAGAUCUCUGGGCCGUAACUGACGCUGAGGAGCGAAAGCAUGGGGAGCGAACAGGAUUAGAUACCCUGGUAGUCCAUGCCGUAAACGUUGGGAACUAGAUGUGGGGACCAUUCCACGGUCUCCGUGUCGCAGCUAACGCAUUAAGUUCCCCGCCUGGGGAGUACGGCCGCAAGGCUAAAACUCAAAGGAAUUGACGGGGGCCCGCACAAGCGGCGGAGCAUGCGGAUUAAUUCGAUGCAACGCGAAGAACCUUACCAAGGCUUGACAUAUACGAGAACGGGCCAGAAAUGGUCAACUCUUUGGACACUCGUAAACAGGUGGUGCAUGGUUGUCGUCAGCUCGUGUCGUGAGAUGUUGGGUUAAGUCCCGCAACGAGCGCAACCCUCGUCCUAUGUUGCCAGCACGUAAUGGUGGGAACUCAUGGGAUACUGCCGGGGUCAACUCGGAGGAAGGUGGGGAUGACGUCAAAUCAUCAUGCCCCUUAUGUCUUGGGCUUCACGCAUGCUACAAUGGCCGGUACAAAGGGCUGCAAUACCGCAAGGUGGAGCGAAUCCCAAAAAGCCGGUCUCAGUUCGGAUUGAGGUCUGCAACUCGACCUCAUGAAGUCGGAGUCGCUAGUAAUCGCAGAUCAGCAACGCUGCGGUGAAUACGUUCCCGGGCCU
rnacentral:rRNA from 1 species